rnacentral:rRNA from 1 species
CCUACGGGUGGCAGCAGUGGGGAAUAUUGCACAAUGGGGGAAACCCUGAUGCAGCGACGCCGCGUGAGUGAAGAAGUAUUUCGGUAUGUAAAGCUCUAUCAGCAGGGACGAUAAUGACGGUACCUGACUAAGAAGCCCCGGCUAACUACGUGCCAGCAGCCGCGGUAAUACGUAGGGGGCAAGCGUUAUCCGGAUUUACUGGGUGUAAAGGGAGCGUAGGUGGCAGGGCAAGUCUGAUGUGAAAACCCGGGGCUGAACCAUGGGAGUGCAUUUGAAACUGUCCAGCUGGAGUGCAGGAGAGGUAAGCGGAAUUCCUAGUGUAGCGGUGAAAUGCGUAGAUAUUAGGAGGAACACCAGUGGCGAAGGCGGCUUACUGGACUGUAACUGACAUUGAGGCUCGAAAGCGUGGGGAGCAAACAGGAUUAGAUACCCUUGUAGUC